rnacentral:rRNA from 1 species
UACGUAGGGACCGAGCGUUGUCCGGAAUCAUUGGGCGUAAAGAGCGUGUAGGCGGCCACUUAAGUCCUGCGUGAAAUCUUGCGGCUCAACCGCAAGCGGUCGUGGGAAACUGGGUGGCUAGAGUGCGGGAGAGGAGAGUGGAAUUCCUGGUGUAGCGGUGGAAUGCGCAGAUAUCAGGAAGAACACCCGUGGCUAAGGCGGCUCCCUAGUACGGUACUGACGCUGAGACGCGAAAGCGUGGGGAGCGAACAGG